AAUUACAUAUUCAUAAAUCAGACAUUUGACAAUCCGAUAGAAAUUGUCUCAUAAAGAGAAAAAGAACACAGACAAUAGGAAAUGAAAUGAGCAGAGAUAAUUCAUAAGAAUGUUUUAGAAAAGAAAUUAAGCUUCGGUGAAGCUUGGGGGCUUGUAGGCAAUGAAACUGAUGCAUUGGACUUGACGGGUGUUGUCGAAUCCGAUGAUCCUAAUGAAGGCGCCCGGGUACUCCUUCUUGCAUUCUUCAACUUCCUUCAACACUUGAGCGGAGUCGGUGCAUCCGAACAAUGGAAGCUUCCACAUUGUCCAGUACCGUCCAUCGUAGUAUCCGGGAGUGUUUCCGUGCUCACGGUACACAAAUCCGUGCUAUAAACACAUAAGAAAACCAUUCAAUACAAUUGAUAUUGGAGGAUAUGCACAAGGUGAUAUAGUCUAUUUCGGUUCUACAAAAUCCGGUUAUAGGCUAAUAUUUCUAGCAAUGAAAACGAAUAAAUAAUAAUGAUUAGUAGACAAAAGAAAACUUUUGUGUUUAUUACCUCUAACUCGAAUUCAACACAAGGAAUCCACUUGUUGCGGAGAAGGUAGUCAACUUCCUUAGCCAAUUCGACGUCACUAAGGUCAGGGAGGUAAGAUAGAGUCUCAAACUUCUUCUUUCCAAUUGGUGGCCACACCUAUAAUCCCCAAAUCCAAUUCCAAAUUAAUAUAUCCUAUGUUUUGUUUUAUUGCACAUGACAAAAGACAGUUUUUAUUGAUGAUAUUACCUUCAUGCAGCUAACUCUUCCCCCGUUGCUUGCGAUGGAAGUGAUGUCCUUGUUGGUCUUGCGGGUGACCGGGAAUGCAGCGGAUGACUUCAAGCCGGUGAAUGGAGCGACCAUGGUGGCCUGAGCCGGGGAUGUAACCACAGCGGCGGAGGAGAGCAUAGAGGAAGCCAUUACUACUUCUUGUUGUUUCUCUUCUUCUUUUGCUCGUUUACUUACUGACUUGUUUUCCUACUGGUGUUGUCAUCUUUAUAUAAUGAGAACCCCCUAAAGGCGAAAAGCCCUCAUGAUCAAAGGGUCCAUGAUUCAUGAUAACGUCGUUUACUGCCACAGGAUUAAGGAAAGGUGUUGACACCCUUAUCGGUACGCACCACUAGGAUAAGGCCACGUGGCAGAAAACUCCAUUAUCUUAUCUUUUCUCUUGUGGGGGAAAUGAAGUGAAUGUGCGGUUACUGGUCUCCACUUGAUCGGUUGCUUUUGGCUCCUUUCGUUUGGGAGAAAAGAAACCAGACGCAUUACCUUAAAUUUAAUGCUUUUGGUCUUUUGGACCUCUUAUUUACCAUGUAUGAUUUAAUUUGGCUUAACACUUUCUUUGGAAAUAAGGUCGCAUUAAAAAAUAGUUAUAACAAAAUUAUUUAAAUUUGAUAUUUACAUAAAUAUAUUGUAUGAUAUUUAUCCGGACAAAAAAAAAAGCUUUAACCAUCUCCAAUAUUUGUUUCUAUUAUUUUCUUUCUGAAUAUAGAGGAAAAAAUAUAAUAGAGAUUUAUAUUUUAACUUCAAUGGUUCCUCAAAAAUUCGUUAGAAAAAAUAAAUAAGAGAAAAAAUAAAAAUCUCUAUUUUUUGCUUUAGAAAAAAAAUUAGAAAUUUCUAUUUUACAAAUGAAAAUAGAGAUGAGUUAGAGUUAAAUAAAUACAAAAAUAGAGUAUAUAAAUAAAAAUAGAGAUAGAUUCGAGAUGCUCUUAAAAAUAUUCAUUACUCUUUCCGUUUUAUUAAUAUCAAUUGUUAAGAUUUUUCAGGCAGACUUAUAAAUAAGAUUCCAUUUCAGACUAAUGGAAGUAAACCUAUCAAAAGAAUUCUAACGUGCUGUAGAGAGACUCCUUCGUCAUCGUCCCUUUUGUGAAAGAGUAAAUUAAAGAAUCCAUAAUGAGCAUAGUGUAAGAAGAACCAUUUAUCUAUUAGAUAUAUUCUAGUACUGGUAGACUGUCGAUUCUGGAUACAUCCUGAAAAUCAUUUACCACAAUAAAUUGUCGAUAAUCUUUUUGUUGGAAAAGUUAUAUAUUAUCUUCAAAUGAUAAUAUAUUAGUCGACAAAAGAAAAGCGAGACAAAAUUUGAAUACAUUGAUUUCGGUUAAUUCAAUACUUUCACUUCAUUUUUAGCAAAUAGUACUUUUAUUUCUGAUUUUUAUGUGGCUAGGAUAAAAGCAAAACCUUACUGGUUGGAGAGAGUAAAUAUUUGAGUCGAUACUAACAACAACUACAUCAUGCAAGAUAUGUUUGUGGGACAAAGAGACCGAGCGAACAAACGAAACGGCAAAACCAUCAUCUACAUGUAUCAAGUGCGCGGUAAACCCCUCAUGGAAGAAUUUCCAAGAAAACCUCCCAAAGUCCAUGGUAUCUUCUAUAUGAGGUAAUGCACGCUGCCUCUAGAUCAACAAGUAAUAUCAGCUCACGAUUAUCUUGCGACUCUGAUCACAUCACAAUAACAAUGGGGAACCCACAUACGCAACCGUUCUCCUUGGAGUACCAUGCCAUUGCACUUACGGCCCCCUCAAGCACAAAUAUGGCACCUCAAGCUGAUUUCCACCAUGCAAACUUGAGUAUGUAAUCAAAGGUGUAGAACGGAGUCAAGAACUCAUCUUAAAGUCACAUAAAACUAUGGUCAUGCACUCAUGGAUCACGACUACUACCUUCAGGCUCACAAAUUAAUGCCCCCUUUUCAAUCAUAUAUAUGAGAAGAAACGUGUACAAAGUACACAUUAACUGGUCACGAAAAAACUUUCGUGUAGGGAAAAGGAUCACAAGGUCCACUCCACUCCGCACCUCAGCUAAAUAAAUCAUUUUUCGAAAGUGAGAUAGUCUUAACUCUUAAGUCUUAACCCAUCCAUCUAAGUUACUAGUUUCUGUCUUUUAUAAGUCAUUUUGUUUCUUUUUCUUGGAUUUUAAUUGAAGCCAAAAUGUGUGAAUUAAAUCCGGGAGAUGGAAAAAAUGUUCGAUAAUUUGAAUUAUUAUUUUUAUAUGUAUUUUGUAUUUGAAUCAUGAAUUUUUUAUAUUUCGUUUGCAUAGAAGAAUCCAAAAACAUAUGAUUUUUUGUCAAAACAAAAACUUAAAACCAAACAUAUAGUAGAUGCGACGUUUUCAUUAUCAUUUGGAAUCUAGUUUUAUUUAGAACUUUUUGGGAACGUUAACUACUUUUCCUUCUAAAUAACUGUUUCAGCUUUUAAUGCAUAACCAAUGAUCAAAUUUAACGUAAACAAAAUUUCCAAAAUUUAGUAACUUCAUGCUUGACAAAUUUCAGUCUUUGUCGAUCCUUGCUUUAUGUAAUGCUAUUUCUUGACUUAAUAUCCCACUUAGGGGUUUGGAAUACAUGUUUUAUGUUUAUAAUUUUAAAAGAUGCAUUUGAAUUUUCUGUAUAUACUACCUUUUCCAAAUCUCCAAUGGCUAUGUCAUCUGAAAAAUGGUUACACUCCCUUACAUAAACUUUUCUCUAAAUAUCGAGGUUUGAUUGAUUGCUUUCAUGUGCAAAAUUUCUUAAAACAAUGUAGCAAGUUUUUCUUUUUUUAUUAGAGUUUAUUGGUUAGUCUAGGGAGUCAAAAGCAAGAAUUAUGAGGAUAAUUUAAAGGAGCCACAAUGUUGUUUAAAGGAGCUAAACGAAAAAUAAGAUUUCAAAGAUUUAAGGGCAAAAAUGAAAUGAAAUGAUAACUAUAAUUAUAGAGAAACUGAUAGGAAUAACAUUUUCACUUUCAAACAAUAGUUCCUCAACUGUUAAGUCGGCAAAUAAUUUCUUAAAUUUGCAUUGACCACAUAGAAAUGGGUUCCAGAAUAAUCAACGCUGAAUAUUCCAGAAAGGGGAUUAAGCUUCGGUGAAGCUUGGGGGCUUGUAGGCAAUGAAACUGAUGCAUUGGACUUGACGGGUGUUGUCGAAUCCGAUGAUCCUAAUGAAGGCGCCAGGGUACUCCUUCUUGCAUUCUUCAACUUCCUUCAACACUUGAGCGGAGUCGGUGCAUCCGAACAAUGGAAGCUUCCACAUUGUCCAGUAUCGUCCAUCAUAGUAUCCGGGAGUGUUUCCGUGCUCACGGUACACAAAUCCGUGCUAUAUAUAAAGAAAACCAUUCAAUACAAUUGAUAUAUAUAUUGGUGAUAGUCUAUUUCGGUUAUCCACUUAAGUUUCUAGCAAUGAAGAAGAAGAAUAAAGGAUGCUUAGAGACAAAGGAAAAGUUCAGUGUAUAUUACCUCCAACUCGAAUUCAACACAAGGAAUCCACUUGUUGCGGAGAAGGUAGUCAACUUCCUUAGCCAAUUCAACGUCACUAAGGUCAGGGAGGUAAGAUAGAGUCUCAAACUUCUUCUUUCCGAUUGGUGGCCACACCUAUAAAUUCGAAUUCCCAAUUAUUCUAAAGUAUUGUUCAGUUGCACUAAUUGCACAUGACAAAAGACAGUUUUCAUUAAUGACAUUUACCUUCAUGCAGCUAACUCUUCCUCCGUUGCUUGUGAUGGAAGUAAUGUCGUUGUUGGCCUUGCGGGUGACCGGGAAAGAAGCGGAUGACUUCAAGCCGGUGAAUGGAGCGACCAUGGUGGCUUGAGCCGGGGAGGUAACCACAGCGGUGGAGGAGAACAUAGAGGAAGCCAUUACUUCUUCUUGUUGUUUCUCUUCUUCUUUUGGUUUUUCUCUUACUUACUUGUUUGUCUGUUGGUUUUGUCAUCUUUAUAUAGUGGGAACCGCUAGAGGCAACUAGCCCUAAUGAUCAAAGGGGCCAUAAUUCAUGAUAACGUCGUUAAUUGCCACAGGAUUAAGGAAAGGUGUUGACACCCUUAUCGAUUUGGACCACUAGGAUAAGAUCACGUGGCAGAAAACUCCAUAAUCUUAUCUUUCUCAUGUAAGGGUAGGAGUGAAUGUGUAUGGCUACUGGUCUCCACUUGAUCGGUUGCUUUUGGCUCCUUUCAAUUGGGAGGCGUCAAAUUGUAGAUAUCGGUUAAAUACUUUUUACAUAUAGAUUAAAAAAAUGAUUAAAUUUCUAUUACCUUAUAUUAACACAUUCAUAUUUUUAUUUUUCCACUUGAUAAUCUUAAAUAAUAAGAAUAUAAGUAUAAUCUUUGAAUUCAUCCCACAUUUUAAAAGUAUAAUUAAAUCAGACAGAGUUCAUUCAAAAUGGUUUUUAAUUGGGAAAUGUAAACUAGUAUUUUGUGUUAUUAUUUUCUAUGUAGUAUGUACGAUCACUAGAACUUUUAGUCACAUAAUGGAUAUUAAAUUAGAAAACAAUCCAAAUGCUUGUGAAUUUUCAGGUUUUACGGCUAAUUAAUAUAUUUCUGAUGAACAAGAGGAACCCACGGCACCGUUCCUUUUGGAGCACAACGCAAUUGCACUUACGGCCCACUUAAGCACGAAUGUGGCACCUCAAGAUAAUUCCCACCAUGACAACUUAAGCACAAAAGCCAUGACGGAUCAUGGGGAAAUUUUAUAACACACUUCAAUGGAUGGUGUGGAUCCGAGGGAAGAAUCCACACUCUAAGGCCACAUGAAGAAGCUCAUAUGGUCAUGGGUCCACGAAUACCACGUAAAAGCUCAUAUAUGCCCCGGUCCAACCAUAUGAGAAGAAGUAGCCAAACCCAUUCAAGAAACAUUGAUUACUUUUCAUUGUAAAUAAGUGUUUUAGCUUUGAAUGUAUCGUAAACUAUCUAAUUUAAUGUAAAACAGUUUCCAAAUUAUAAAUAUUCAUGCUUUGUUAUCUCCAUUAUAAAUUUCAUUAAUUCUUGCGUGUCCUUGCUUGCUAUGAUGUCAUCUCUAAAUUUUUGGACUUGCGGCUCUAGAAUUCAUGUUUAUGGAUUUAAAAUAUACAGUUGGAUUUUUCUAUGUCAUUUUAAAAAAGAAAAUUUUUAGAUUAGAUUUUAAAAAGAGAAAUAAACGUGUUUACAACUUAAUGCAUACUUUUUUGAAAAACAAAUCUAAAACAGAGGAUUUGGUCUUAAGCUUGUCUUGUACCAAACCAAACUUGAAGACCUCCUUCAUACUUCAAAGCUCCCCCCACUCCGUAUUGUGCUCAGCCGGUUCCAAACAUUUUUGUCAAUUAACUUGACAAGUUUCUCCAUUGGUGAUGGUUGUUCACCAUGCUUUCAAGCAUUUCUUUCUCCCCAAAUCGAAUGAACCGUGUUUUGGAAGACAUACCGUAGAAUGAAGAUUUUUGUUUUGUCAUAGUUUUUGUCACAAAUGGUUUUAAAGACUUCCCUCCAAUAUGUCGAGUACUUAUCAAGUAGUAUUCCCCUUAUCAGCUUCUCCCAUACCUUCUGCGAGUAAGAGCACCCAAAAAAAAGAUGGUGUCUUGUUUCCAUAGGUUCGUGACAGAACAUGCAGUUUGUGUUCACUUGUUGAUUCCAUUUAAACAUUCUGUCUCCCGUGGCAACUCUGUUUUUUGAAGCUAGCCAACUGAGAAAGGAGUAGUUAGGGUAAAGUAAAAGAAACAGAUCCCUUUGUAUCCGUCCAUCGUAGGCUUAGUGUUGCGAAUUUUUGAGCAUGUAUCUCUUGUGACAAACUUUUGACGGUAGUGAUCAUUUUUUCCUUUCCAAAGGGCUAUGUAACUUUCAUCUUCUCUGAGACGACAUCUCUAUUUUCUACGUAUUUUUACUACCUUUACUGGCUGUUUUUCAUCUUUAAAUUAAAAUGUUCUAAAUCAACCCUCAAAAUUUGAUUGAUGGACGCAUCUUUGCUAUGCUUUCAAGUGCGAAAUGUACCUAAAAAGGGUACUCUUUCAUUAGAGAACCAAAGGCAAGAAUUAGGAGAGAAAUUUAAAGGAACUAAAAUGUUAGUUAAAAGAGAUAAAACGAAUAAAAAGAGUUAAAAGUGAUAAGAGCAGAAAUGAAGUGAUAUGAAUAGAGAUUUUUAUAGAGGAAACGAUAGAAAAACAAACCUUCAGUUUUUUCACUUUGGCAAAAUAAUUACUUAAAUUUACAUUGACCAUACAAAAUUGGGUUCCGGAUAGUCAACAUUGAAUAUUCCAGAAAAGGAUUUAAGCAUCAGUGAAGCUUGGGGGCUUGUAGGCAAUGAAACUGAUGCAUUGGACUUGACGGGUGUUGUCGAAUCCGAUGAUCCUAAUGAAGGCGCCCGGGUACUCCUUCUUGCAUUCUUCAACUUCCUUCAACACUUGAGCGGAGUCGGUGCAUCCGAACAAUGGAAGCUUCCACAUUGUCCAGUACCGUCCAUCGUAGUAUCCGGGAGUGUUUCCGUGCUCACGGUACACAAAUCCGUGCUAUAAACACAUAAGAAAACCAUUCAAUACAAUUGAUAUUGGAGGAUAUGCACAAGGUGAUAUAGUCUAUUUCGGUUCUAAAAAAUCCGGUUAUAGGCUAAUAUUUCUAGCAAUGAAAACGAAAAAAAUAAUAAUGAUUAGUAGACAAAGGAAAAGUUUUGUGUAUAUUACCUCCAACUCGAAUUCAACACAAGGAAUCCAUUUGUUGCGGAGAAGGUAGUCAACUUCCUUAGCCAAUUCGACGUCAGUAAGGUCAGGGAGGUAAGAUAGAGUCUCAAACUUCUUCUUUCCGAUUGGUGGCCACACCUAUAAUUCCCAAUUCCCAAUUAUUCUUAAGUAUUGUUCAGUUGCACUAAUUGCACAUGACAAAAGACAGUUUUCAUUAAUGACAUUACCUUCAUGCAGCUAACUCUUCCCCCAUUGCUUGUGAUGGAAGUAAUGUCGUUGUUGGCCUUGCGGGUGACCGGGAAAGAAGCGGAUGACUUCAAACCAGUGAAUGGAGCGACCAUGGUGGCUUGAGCCGGGGAGGUAACCACAGCGGCAGAGGAGAGCAUAGAGGAAGCCAUUACUUCUUCUUCUUCUUCUUUUGCUUAAUUGUUUUUCUAUUGGUUUUGUCAUCUUUAUAUAGUGAGAACCGUAAGAGGCAAAAAGCCCUAAUGAUCAAAGGGUCCGGGAUUCAUGAUAACUCGUUCACUACCACAUGAUUAAGGAAAGGUGUUGACACCCUUAUCUUAUCUUUCUUUUGUGAGGAAAUGAGUGAUUGUGUAUGGUUUACUAGUCUCCACUUGAUCGGUUGCUUUGGCUCCUUCCUUUUGGAAGAAAAGAAAUCAGAUGCAUGACCGUAAAUAUAAUGUUUUGGACCUUUUAUUUAUCUUGUAUGUAUUUUUAAAAUUUGGUUUACAUUACUUCGGUUAAUAAAUACUAUAACAGGAAUAUCUAUAAACAGAGUCAUGACUCAUAAUGCAUUUCACAAUGUCAAAGCUGAACGUUGAGAUAAAUUUAUCAAUAGCACUAAAUAUUAAUCCGCGGUAUACCGCGGGUCUAUAUUUUCAUUAAAUAAAAAAUAAUUGAAUAUUUCUUAGGAUGACUUAAUAAAUUUCUGCUAUUGUUUGAUUUAAAUGUAUAAUUCACCGCGAGACAAAAUUUUAUAACUCAAAUUUUAAAGUUUUAAGUUGUAUUUGUUUAUUUUGUUAAAUGUUUAAUAUUGUAUAAUUGUAUUUUGAUUGUUGUUUCUCGGAUUUCACCCGUAGUACACCAUCCCAUAUUAAUAUCGAAUCAAACCCGUCAAUUCUAGGAUUUCACCUGUGGUAGUAUUUAAUUGUAUAAUAAUAACUUGAUUGUCAUUCUAGGAUUUCACUCCUAGUUCUAUCGCAAAUUAUUAUCAACUCAAACCAGUCAAUUCUAAAAUUUCACCCGUUGUACACCAUCCCAUAUUAAUAUCGAAUCAAGCCCGUCAAUUCUAGGAUUUCACCCGUGGUAGUAUUUAAUUGUAUAAUUAUAUUUUAAUUGUCAUUCUAGAAUUUUACUCCUAAUUCUAUCGCAAAUUAUUAUCAACCUAAACCAGUCAAUUCUAAAAUAUCACCCGUAGUACACCAUCCCAUAUUAAUAUCGAUUCAAACUCGUCAAUUCUAGGAUUUCACCCGUGGUAGUAUUGCGAGAGAAAUCUUAUAAAAGAAUCGAAAUGUGUUUUAAAAAAAUUAAAGUUUUAAGUAUUUUUUUUUAAUAUUGUUAAUUUUGUUUAGUGCUUAAUAUUAUAUAAUUAUAUUAUGAUUGUUAAUUAUAGGUUUUUUUCGUAGCAUAUCAUCCAAUGUUAUAAUUCACUCAAAGCCGUCACACCAUAUAACCCCGUCCCGUUAAAUUAAACACAAAUUUGUCAUUUUAUUAUAAAUUUCAAAUAUUUAUAAAAUUAGAAACUUCAAAAAAGAUUAAUAUUGACCCAAACUUCAUCAUUGAAUUUUGAGUGUUAUAUCUAAGAUUUCUCUCGCAGUAUAUCGUCCCGUAUUAAUAUCUUUUAUAUUGUUUAAAUUUCUUGUAAAAUUUGAUUUAUAAUUUUUUGAAACUUUUUAAAGUUUCAAUUCUUUAAAAUAAAUAACCCUAGUAAACAAACCAUUUUAAUUUUGGACACCUCAUAAAUCAAGUUUCAUGCUCAUUCGUAAUCGAAAUUAUUUUGGUCCUUUUUAUAGUAUGGCUCUGAACCAUUGUCCAAUUUUUUUAAGCGAUGUGGGACAUUGUACAAUCGUAAUUAUUAUCCACCCAAACCCGUCCUACCAUAUAACCCAGUCCCGUGAAAUUAAACAUAAUUUUGUCAUUUUCUUAUAAAUUUCAAUAUUAUAAAAUUUGAAACUUACAAAAAAUAAAAUAUCGACCUUGAUUAUAUUUAAGAUUUUUCCUGUAAUAUAUCGUCUUGUAUUAAUAUAUUUUAUAUAUAUAUUUAUAAUGUUUAAAUUUCUUGUAAAAUUCAAUUUAUAAUUUUUAAAACUUUAUCAGUUUUAAAAUUAUAAAUAUUUAAAGUAUUUUUUAAAGAUAAACUUUAUAAAAAGUUUUUAAAAUUAUAAUAUUUAACUUUUGAUAAAGUUAUAAUAUUUAUAAUUUCUUGAAACAUUUUAAAGUUUCAAUUCUUUAAAAUAAAAAACCCAAGUAAAUCGGAUAACUAUUUUAAUUUUGGACGACUGAUAAAUCAAGCUUCCUGCUCAUUCGUAAUCAGAAUCAUUUUGGUCCUUUUAUAAUAUGGGUCUGAAACAUUGUCCAAUUUUUCUAAGCGAUGUGAGACAUUGUAUACAUAUUAUUUCUUCAUACUUUGAAUAAUAUAUGUCCGUUUAAAAAAAUUUGAAUUACAUCAUAUGCAGAAAAAAAUAUAAUAUUUUAUUAACUAUAUAUAUUUUAUAUAAAUUCAAAAUAAAUAAAGUAUAAGAUCAAAUAAAAGUGAAAGAAGAAUUAUAUAUUUAUGUUUAAAUUAGGUAAAAAUAUUUUAGGAAAUUAGUUAAGGUAAAUAACAAAUAUGGUUCGUUUAGAGAUAUUGUUUAUAUUAAAUUUGGUAAUUAAAUCAUUAAUUUUUGUUUUUAAUUAUUAGUUUUUAGGUAACUUUUCCAAAAAUUAAUGUUAUCGAAGAUCAGAACAUAAUUAAACAUGUUAUCCAAGAUCCGAACAGAGUUAAACCGGGUUAUACCCACCCAUUUGAAUUAAUUGUUGAAUUAUGGCUCAAAUCUUCAAUAUUAUCUUCUAAAAACGUCUACAAAAAUGUAUAUAUAGAAGAUUACUCUUUUUAACUAAAUGCAAAAAAGGAAAACCGAUAAGAAUAAGAAAAAAAUAGCAAAAUUGAUAAAUGGAUUAGUCAAGAAAACCAUGUUUAAAUAUAGGAAAUACCAAAAAUGAAAGGAUAGCCAUGUGAUACGCUUGUAUAAAAAGAAAUUGUCCCUAUUGAUUACUUCAAAAAAAAAAAAAAAAAAUAAAUAAAUAAAUAAAUAAAGAGGCCAAUUCGACAAUAAAGGCAAUGCAUAGUCUCUCGUGGUUUCUCCUCGUCAUUGGAUUAUCCGUAGGGUUGAGUAGCGGAAAGUGGAAUGAGAAAAACUCUGUCAUCUUUACGAAUUCUCUUGGUCGGAACAAAGUCUUGAAAGUAAAUUGCAUAUCAAAUGAUGACAAUCUAGGCUUCCACUUUUUGCGCCAUGGACAAACCUACGAUUUUAGUUUCCACGAUAGUCUUUUCAAAUCAGAAUUCUAUUGUGACCUAUGGCAAGGCCCUAAUUUCAAGUUGCAUGCAGCAUUUACGGCAUAUGAAGGUGGUGGUUUGAUAGUUCAUUAUGGUAAAAAGAACUUUUGGGAUGUUAGAGAUGAUGGGAUCUAUUUCACCCAUGGCCAAAAAAUGCCCAAGUUAGAGUAUACGUGGAAGUAAUAAUUAAUCACUCAAAGGGAAAAGAUGGAAUUUAACUCAUCUUUUUGUUUUAAAGUUUGACAGAAACUUCAUUUUCUUGUGUAUUAUAGUGGACGUGAAACAUUGUAAUAAAUCAUCAAAUUAAGGCACCUUAAUAUGUAAAUGUAUCUUUAGUGUAUUAAAGAGAAACUUUAUAAGUAUGUGAGUUUUUCAAUACGCAAACAUAUCCAAGGCUUACGUCCUAACCAAAACUAAUAUUAAUUUGCACAUAUAUACAUGAUUAAUGAAUAAUGUAAGUAGACAGAGUGAGAGAUCACCCACCAGCUCUCCCUCUCCCCAAGUCAGCUUUCAUUUCAAAUCCUGAAAGGUAUCGUCGCUUGGUAGGGCGACUUAGCUACUUAAUUAGCUGACACCUGAGUUAGCCUAUUCAGUUCACAAAUUAGCACAGUUCAUGCAACAUCCACUUUAAGAACACUGGGAUGCUGUGAUAUGGGUGGUUCCGAUAUCUAAAAUCCAAUCCGCGCCAAGGCCUUUUGCUUCCCAGCUCAUCGACUUUGCAGCGUCAUGGUUGGUGUGAUAGUGAUUGGGCCGCCUGUCCUCUUACUAGACGCUCUCUCACAGGUUAUUUUGUACAACUUGGUGACACAAAAAUCUCAUGGAAAAUGAAGAAACAACUGACUAUCACUCGCUCUUCCGCAGAAGUCGAAUAUCGAGCCAUGACAUUUCUUACUCAAGAACUUAUUUGGCUUAAAAAGGUGAUGCAUGAUCUUGGUGUCUCUCAAGAUCGACCUAUGCGCAUAUUCUCUAACAAUAAGUCCGCUAUUGCUCUAAGUGCCAAUCCGGUUCAACAUAAACGUACAAAACAUAUUGAGGUGGAUGGUCACUAUAUCCAUGAUAUCCAUGCUGGUAUUAUGACUACUACCCAUGUGUCCUCUCAACAACAAUUAGCAGACAUUCUCACUAAGGCGUUGGGACAAAGAGAGAACUCCAUUUCUUUCUCUGCAAGCUGGGCAUUCUUGAUGUAUAUGCUCCAACUUGAGGGAGGGUGUUAAAUAUAUUUGCUACUUAUAUUCUUAUUAUUAGAGUGCAUCUUAGUCAAUAGCUACUAGUCAAGCUUAGUCAACUCUACUUUGCCCCUUUUGGUUUUUCCAUGGUAACCACAUUAUGUACUUUAGGUUAUAUCAUCUUUUUGUAUAAUUAUGGCUUUUAACGCCUAAUCAAGAUAACACAAAUUAAAACCAAUCUCUGUCUCUUGCCUUAAAUCUGACACUCUUUUGGAUAAGUUUCUUUUAAAAGCGUUUAAGAAAAAUUUCAACAUUGCUAAUUAUGAGAUAUAUGUCAACAAACUCAAGGCAUUGUUUUAUAAGAAUACUAGAUAUUUCGCCAAACCACUCAUGCUAUAAUGGGAGUGAAAGUCUUAAAUUGGAAUAUUAAGAAUAAGAUCUUUUAUCAUGACUCGUAAUUCAUAUCACAAAUGUCAAAGCUGAACGUUUCAAUAAAUCUAUCGAAAGCAUUAAUCCUUUAAAUAGAUGUGAAACAGCGAAAUAGAUAAGGGCACAAAGAAAACAGUAAAAGCGAUCAACAAGUUCGUAUGAGUCAAAACUCAAAAAAAAAAACAUGUUUAAAAAUAGGAAAGACCAAAAACUAACGACUAACCAUGUAAUACACUUGUAUAAAAAGACACUAUCCGUCUGUCCCUUUUCAUUAUCUACAGAUUAAUUACUUCUGAAUUUAAAAGAAGGAAGGCCAAUUCAAACAGUCAACAAUGAAUCGGCUCUCGUGUUUUCUGCUCGUUAUUGGAUUGUGCAUAGGAUUGAGUAACGCAAAUUUAAUAUGGAAUGAGAAAAACACUGUAUUCUUCAAGAGUUCCCUUGGUCGAAACAAUGUUUUGAAGAUUCAUUGCACAUCAGAAGACAAUCUAGGUUUCCAUUUUUUGCGUCCUGGAGAAACCUAUGAUUUUAGUUUCCAUGAUAGUAUUGUGAGAUCAGACUUUUACUGUGAAUUAUGGCAAGGGCCUAAUUUCAAGUUUCAUGCAUCAUUUAUGGCAUAUCAAGGUGGUGGUCUCAUAGUUCAUUAUGGUAAAAAGAACUUUUGGGAUGCUAGAGAAGAUGGAAUCUAUUUCACUCAUGGCAAAGAAACGCCCAAGUUAGAGUAUAAGUGGAAAUAAUAAUUAACCACUCAAUGUAUGAUGGAAUUGAGAUCAUCUUUUUUUACUUUUAACAAAAGCUUAUUGUUCUUGUGUACUAUUGUGGAAGGGAAACCUUUGAAAUAAAUUUAUCGAAAGUAUGUGAACUUUUGAAGACGAAAACUUUCAAUACUUAAGUCCUCAUCUAAACUAAUAUUUGUAGUUAAAUGAUUAAUGAAUAAUUAAUGUGAGAAAAUCCCUAAAAGAAUGGUGGAAAAAAAGGAAGAUGUGUCAAAUGAUUUUUGACUCAAAUUAGUUAAUCGGUAAACUAAAUACCUGAGUUAUGUAUGCUUUGGCAAAACACACUUAAUUGGGCUCACUAAUUGAAUUUACAGAUUAAGAUUUCGUCAAAGCCCAACAAAUAACGAUAUCCUAAUAUUUUUGUAGUAUAUGCAGCCCAUCACUUUAAAAAUUCCCGAACCAGAAUGCUACAUCAAAAUUAUAGCAUUCACAACAUGUUUCUUUUUGUCCAAGUGAGUUUGGAUGUAGAAAUUUGGAUACAAAACAAGUUGCAUAUUAUGAUGCAAUCGAAACUAGAGUUUAAAUGCAUCAAUUCCAUCUAUAACUAAUUAACGUAAACGACUAAAAAUCAACUAAUAUUGUCUAUGUCGACCCAAGUUAAUUCGGGUCCGCUUUUGCGAUACUUCCAGGGAUUUGUUCUAUUUUACCUUGCUUGUAGGACAUGUUCUAUGUUCUAAGCUUUUACAAUUCAGGUUGUAAGUGAAGCGUAUUUUUGUUUCAUUGCUUGUAAAUGAAACAACACAUAGUUUGUUAACGGAGUUGAUGGUUUCUAACCGCUAUAUCUCGUAGAAAAACUCUUGCUCCCAAGCUUCACUAUAUAAGGAAGAGGUUGCACACAUGACAUCACUACUAACUUUCGAUGUUGUCUUUUAAUUUUACGUUCACUCCAGAAACACAAGGAUAAAAACAACACACACACACACAAACAAAACAAAACAAAACAAAACUUGCUUGGAAAAUCUUAGUUUUUCACUUUCUCUAAAACUCUUUUUUCUUUUUUCGUCUUGUAUCACUUAUUACAUUUAUAUCUGAGCCUUUGUUAUGUAUAUAUAGCUGUAUGCAUUUGGGGCAAAGCCCUUCCGAGAACAUGUCUCCCUUCUAUGUCAAACUUCGUCUUGUGACUCUUGACCAUGAAAGCCCAUUUUUUGGGUGUGUUAGAGCAUCUCCAACAAGCCUUCUAACCUUCAAUUUAUUUUGAACCCUCUAACCCUUAUAUUUUUAGGAUGUAAAUAGUGCACCUCGAAUUUUAUGGUGCAUUUUUUACACCCUCAGGCCUCAACAACCAAAACUGAUUAUUGUUAAUAUUGCACAUAACAAGAGAACGGAAAAAUACCUUGGUAGUUUCAUAUCUGUAACAUAGUCAGACGUAUCAUUAGUUUAUUUAAAACAGUUGUACCACGAUUGUCUACGAAUACAGAAAAGGAAAAAAAAAACGAAUAUGAAAUUUUUUCCAAGGAAAAAUAACUAGUACUACGAUUUAAUGUACAAAGAUAUAACUUAAAAACCUCUGUCAAAAAUAUCAUAUAAUAAAUAUUUCUUAUAUUAAAUAUAGGAAACACAAUUCAAUAUGUAUAAGAAAAACAAUAGUAUUUUCACAUUUCCACCAAAUCUUCUAUGAUUUCAAAGAUUUUUAAUCUUUUGAUAGUGGAAGGAUCUUUGUUUAUAAUCGUCAAAGAAGAUACAGUAUCACAAUUAGAUUUAGAUACACAUGCGUGUGCAUGUAUUUUCUAAAAACAAGAAAAAUUAUACUCUCAUAUAAUAUGCAUUCUCACUUACGAAUAACUAAUUUGCAUAGGGUGUUGAUUGCGAUACUGAAUUGAUCAAAAGAUUAUUUCUUUGCUAUGUUCUUUAUUGGGGCGUAUCUAAAAUUAUGACGAUAUGUUUUUGACUUGUCAAUUCAGAAGAUUGUACCACUGAAUUAUUCUAUACAUAUUAUAAAAAUUAUACAUUUCAAAUAUGUUUUUUUCCACAUUUUGUACGAUUUUCAGACUUGAACUUUCAGAAGAAAAAAAAAACAUUUGCCUUUAAAAAUACAAACUAUAUUCAAAAUCUAAUUGAAAACAAAGAAUGACAGAAGACAACACAAAUGCGCAAAAAAAAAUAAAAAAAUCAUGAUCGUACAUAUGAAAGAGUUUCUUUUAAAUUUAUCAAAAAAAAAAAAUCGUGAAGGAUUUUCUUUUAAAACUUUUUUUAACUUUCUGCAAUGUGGUAUUUUUAUACAUAUGCCACAUAACACAAAUGUUUUUUUUUCUUUUCCAUUUAAUCCGACUAAGACCUAAUAAUUAAAAGAUAUACCUAUCAUAAGUUACCAGUUUUAUUUAUUUCUGAUCAAUUUCAAAGGUUACUGACCACAUAUCAAAAAAUAUUAUAAGAUAUAAAGAAGCAAGAAUCAACCUUAGUCAUUGUAAGUGCAAAGGCUGCCACCAAACUUAACCAAGAAAAAUUAAAUAUGAACUCCUUUUCCCCCAUCACUAAUCAUUCUUUUUGUUUCUUUGAUUAUUAAAUUUCAUGUUUUAUGUUUGUUUAUUAUUUUAAGGCUUAUCUAGAUUGAACCCAUCUUAAUAUUACAUUAUGACUUAUUAUUAUUGAAUUUCAACUCACUUUCUAAGCCAAUAAAGGUGAUCGAUGGACAUAUGCUUUUGGCCUUAUGCCAGAGAGUUAUUGAUUUAUACCAGUUGCAGUCUCAAAGCACAUAAUAUGACCUUACACAUAGACAACAGUCACAACUUUUCAUAUCUUUGUGUCUUUAAAUUAGAACUAAGAAGAUUUAUUUAUAUAUGUACAACUAGUCUUUUUUGAAUAAACUAAAACAAAAGCUUUAAUUUGGCCUAAAGAAAACACAAUCAUUUGGAAGAUGUGGUAAUUAUAUAAUACAUUUAUUCGAAAUCUCCUUCUCAGCCUUCUUACUUCGAAUAACAUAUCUACUAUAUUUUUGGCAUAUCAAUAGUUUUUUUGGAGUUUUAAAAGUAUGUGUAUAAAAGAAGUUUAAGAAUAACAAUUCAAAGAUAUAUGUCAUCCAUAAACAUAUUUCUUCUACUACCAUAGAUCAUAUUAAAUUCAUUUACUACACAAGUUUAUGUUUCAAAUACUAUAUUUUAAAACAUGUUACAUAAACCAAUCAUGCGGGUUUUUGAGUUUGUUCUCGUCACACUUUACACAAAACAAUAGAAAAUGUCUUUUUGAGGAAAAAGAAUUAACAUAAUUUGAUGUCAUAGUAACAUUUAUUCCGAUUUGUAUCCCUCAUGAAAUUCAAAAUCUCCCUCAAUCUCAAAAUCUUCCUUCUAGCCGUGCUUUACCAAGGCAUUCCAAAUCAAACUAUUUAAACCGCGAAAAUCCUCAUGAAACCAAUGGCUUCAAUAUCACUUGAACUCCAUACUUAGGUUUUAUAGUAAGCACAACGAUUGGGGCAUGCCUAUAAUUCUUUGAUAUUGUGAAGUUAAACUUUGAAAUUAACGUGGCUAAUAUUAUUUUAGCUUCCAUCAACGCAAACUGUUGUCCGAUGCAGUUCCGUGGACCGGCUGCAAAUGGGAUGAAAUGGCGACCAGACGCGAAUGGUCUGCCUCCAAAACGUUCGGGAUUGAAUUGGUUCGCGUCUUUACCCCAUAAUUCUUCACUGUGAUGGAUAGCAAGAACCGGUAUCCAUAUUGAUAAACCUUUAGGAAUGGUUAGAUCACCUAGUUUUAGAUCUUCAAAUGCCAUCCUUGGUAGAAGAGUAGCUGGAGGGUAAAGUCUUAGUGACUCGUUAAUCACUUUGCUUAACUGUUCCAAAGACAAAGAAAAAGAAGUUAGAAGACUAUUCUAUUAAUUCAUUUUGGAAUCAUAUCUUUGUGAUCAUGCGAAGUGCUUCUUGACUCUUUCUCAAACAUCUUUUAGUUUGGGAAUUGACUUUUCCUUUUGAAAAAAAUAUCAAUGAAGCUGUCAAGAUCUAAUCAUUAGUUAAUACAUGUUUAGAUUUCUUAGAUAAUAUUUUAUGCAAAGCAUGCCUUAGUGCUAAUCACUAAACAAAUGGAAGAUGUCUUAUUUAACCAUUUAUUUAUGCCUGAAAGAUCUAUUUACCAAUAUCUAUAUCGUAUCAAAUUUCAAACCUGGCUUAACCAAUGCUAAUCAUAUCUAAAUAGUAUCACUAUAAAACUAAUCAGAAAGUAUGAUUCUAUGUAAAUCGGUUAUAAUAAACAUGUAACGAUUUAACCCAAUAUGAAUAUAUCUUUAAAGCUCAAUAAACAUACACAUUGUUAAAAAACAAUAUUUGUGUUCUAACUAGGAUUGAAGAUAAAGGAAUAAAGACAAAAUUAAAUGAUAUCUACUCAUUAGGGUUCUUCUGUGCCGACUAUGACUAUGUUAUAAGCUUAGUUAUGGAAGAAGCACUACGAUGCUAGUGGCAUUGUCUAUACUGUGUUAAAUGUUAAUACCCCACACGCACCCAUCCAUCCAUCAUAAAGCUAAUUCUACUAGUCAAAUAAAUUAAUAGGUUACUAUAAUAUAUAGUUAUAUGAUUAUUAUUUGGAGCAAACAACAAAUAUUAUCUUUUUAUAUCUAUGAGUUAAUGGAGUUCGAGUCACUGAUGCGUGGUCAGACAAAAACUUAAGGUUGAAAAGUUGAAACGGUCACUGAUGGAUUAGUACUAAACCGUAUUUUCAUGAUUUUUUAACAACACCAAACUCAUGAAUGGUGAGCCGACGUAACCGCAAGUAGACUAAUAUGUCUCGUCUGCUAGCUAUUUACGUUCCAAACUUAGGUAAAACUUAAUUCCUAUGUUAACAAUCUCACCAAAAGAUAAGACUUUGCAAGAGAAGGACUAAUUUUAUGUCUAGAUUUUAGAAGUUAUUGUAUAAUAUGUAUUGAAAAGUGAAUGUACGUACCGAGGUUAGCUUAGAUAGUUGAUCGACUGAGGGAAGGCCAUUGCGGCCAAAGACCUCCCUGACCUCCUCACGGACUUUUUCCUGCCAUGUGGGAUUAUCGGCGAGGAGCAUUGUUGUCCAUGUGAGGAGCAAAGCCGUGGUUUCAUGGCCAGCAAAGAAGAAUGUCUUGCAUUCAUCCAUUAUCAACUGAAGAUUGUUGUUGUUAUUGUUAUUGUUCUUGUCAAUAUCCAUUUCGUUCAAGAGAAGCCCGAGAAGGUCGUCACCGUGAGUGCUACUCCUACCCAUUUCAGCGCAGUCUCGCCUGCUUUGUAUGAUCUCAAUCAACAAACGCUCAACUUCUUUUUUCAGAGACUUGAUCUCUCUGUUGUAUUUGCUUGGAAGAAACCUACAUAUACAAAAGAUUUGUUAUUAAGUCAAUGUUAGACCACAGUUAAAGUUUAAUCCUAAAACAAUAUACGUUUUAAAGCUUCACCGAGGAUCACAACAAAUAAAUAGAAAAACUAAAUUUUGUUAUGUAUAACUUAAUGUUUAAGAAUUUGUAUGGUGGCAGCCGCGGUCUGUCUGCUGCCACCAUUACUGAAAAUAUAGAGAUUAAUUACGAUUUCUAGGGUGAGGAAGAAAACCAACCGGCUGCCGGGAAAGCAGAGGUGGCGGGUGGCUUGAGCGCAACGGCGCUGGAGGACAGUGAGGUGGUUGAAAAGCUCUUUGCCUUUCUCAAAGCUGCUUCCGAACUUUGUCCUCGAUAUAAUAUCAGCCGUGAGUUUAUGCAUCUCCUCUCCUAUCUCCACCUCAUUUGCUCCUUCCCCAACUUCCUUCCUCAACCUCUCAACUAGCUUGCUUGUGCACUCCACCAUAUGCCUUGCGUAUCCCUACAUCAUAAGGGUACUUCAGUCAUUCAACGUCAAGUAACUAAGCAUUGUUUUUUGCAUGAGGCUAGUUUAUUGACGUGCCUUGAGUCUUUCUCCGGUAAAUGCCGGUGCAGCAAGGUGGCGUUGGUGGUGCCAAUCUUGGCCAUUAGCCAUUAGGAGACCGCGACCGAUAAAAUUCUUAGUCCCUUGUUGUUGUAGCCACGAUCUUCCACUAACACCGUUGUGUUUCAUCAGCAACUCCUUUAUCAAUUCCGUUUCCGUUAAGCAAAGCCGAGGAUCCGUCCCGUUCCACACAAUAAACCUCUUCCCUGUUUCAUCAAAACGUAAAUUUAUCUAAGGAUUACUCAUUUUAUUACAUGUAACCCUCCUUUAAUCAAAGGCCAAACAUUCUUCAGUAUGUUUUACGGAGAAAAAACAAAAAAUACAUGGAGGGUAUUUCCGUCAUUUUAUCUGGCUCCAUUGAUAGAUGUCACUUACAAUUAACAGACCAACUUAAUAACGAAAUCUAUGUAUAGACUUCACGACCAAGAAAACACAAACUUGUUACAAUUCAAGACCAUACCGUAUUGUUUGGACCAAGCAACGUAAUGCGGGAGAAGGCGGCCGACGAUGUCAUGGUGAAUAGAGUCACAAUCCUUGGAAGCGGAUUGCGAAACCAUGGCCGAGAUUUCAAGGAUAUUUCCGGUUAACGGACGCGGUUUAGGACCCGUUACGCCUUGCUGUUCCAUGAUCUUCUUGAUUCGUCUAGGUGUUAGCCAGUAGCACGAUAUGGUGUCGUAUAAAACUCUCAAUAUCGUAGUCACGAAUAUCACGAGGAGUGAUUUUAAUAUAGUAAGCAACAUUUUUGGGUUUUUUCUUUUCUUCUUCCAGCAACAAAGAUUCGAAAAGAAAAACAAGAGAUAUUAAGAGGGUGAGAUAAAGAGUAAUGGUGUAUUUAUAGUGUCGAGAUACAAUAUAAAUUCAUGUAGGGUACUAAAUCUGGGAGAACUAAUUAUGGUAUAACUUUGUUGCAUAUUCUCACUUAAAGAAAUGGAAGAUAUUGAGACUAAUUAAAUUAGUAAAUCUCGUUAUUUUUUACCUUGCUUGGCUAAACGUUUCCAUUUAAUUCUUAUACUUUUAAGAGAGACACUCCAAAUUAUUAUUACAGAAACAAGUUGUGACAUUUCACAAAUGCCAACUUUGGGAAGUUUCCAGAACUACAAAAAAAAAAACAUUUAUGUUCACGAAGGGUUCCUAAAAGUUUAAGAAAUAAAGUAUCCCUAAAUUUUUAAGAACUCUUCUUAAAUUAUAAGAAAUGUUUCAAUCAUUUAGUAUUACUUCCUGAAUUUUUAAAACAUUUUAUAAGAUUAAAAUUUGUGGCCUUUUCUUAGAAAAUGUUGUAUACCAAAUAUGAUUAAAAAAAAAAAAAAAAAAACUCAUUUCCUGAGAAUCAAAAGAGAACAUCUCAGCUCAAUUAUGAUCGAAUCUUGACCAUAAUUAUGUACUAAAACUUAUAUAGCGUAUUACUGAGAGGGUCGAGAGAGAAAAGGACUUGAAAAUAAAAUUAAGUCUCCUGAAACAGUAAGAACUACCAAGAAUUGUUCUCGUAUUUGUCCCAGUCCCAGUCCCAGUCCCACACAAAGCUGGAUCACAUAAACCAUUCAAAAUCACUGCUUAGGUAUAAGUGUUUGAUUUCUCUUUUAAUUCGCCUAUGAUCCAAUCUUAACCAUAAUUAAUCUAUGAGAUGUAAAGUUUCAAGAAUUUGUUUCUAAAGACAACACAAAAAAAAAAGGUCGUGUUAAAUACAAUGUGCUUGAUAUAUAAAAAGUUCGAUCCUGGCCGUCUCAUUAAGGGGACAACAUAUUAAUCUGAUAGCUAUGACCUGUGUCGCUGUAACAUUCGGGACAUGAUUGCACAACACAAAAUUUCAUUAAAACCUUACGUUUCCUUUCAUAAAGGUAAAAUCUCUACCCCAAUUUUUGAAACCACCCCAAAUUUUGAAACCUACGUCAUCAACAAUUUAUACGCAUUGGAAUAUAGACCAACAUUUAGUAAAACCUGGACCAAAUACAACAAGUCUGAUGUUAAACCACCGUUUCUGUCUAGCUCGAUUCUACUGUGAUGAUCGGAGUUGGUUCGGUAAAGACCCUAAGCUACAUUAAAUCUAUAGGCAAAAAGACAGAGAAAACAAAAAUGGAACCGAGUUAAACAACCUUGCUCUUCAGAUUUGCUUCUUUUCUUUAUCAGAGGAUCCGAAAUGACUUGACAAAGUCCACUGCGUAUAGUUGGUGUAAAAGGCAAACAUUAUAAAGUAUGAGAAACAGAGAAUCAUGAUCAGUGCUUCGAAUAGGAAAGGGUACUUCUGAGGAGGUUUAAUGGUAAGAUAGAGGACAUGAAGAACUACGGAGAUGAAGAAAUGGGUUCGUAGUAAGAAAACAUAACCCGGGAAGUUUUUAAAGGAGAAAAAUGAAACGUCGGUUUUCUGUAUCGCAUGGUGAUUCCCGGGUGAAUGAUAGAUGACGGUGAAGAGAAAAGAUAGUGUUAAGUAAGGGAUCAAGAGUUUGUCACGGCAAAGAAGAGGGAACAUCGAGAAGAGAGCGUAAUAGGUUAAAUGACUGAAAUGGUCAGGUAGUUUGAGAGCUAAUAGUGUUGCGGAGAGAAAAGGCAUCAGGAUUGAUUUCUCAUGCACUGCAGAUUCAAACACAAUGAAAGAAAAAAAGGGACUGUUAGAUAUUAAUUGAUGGCAACCGUGAUCGAAGAUCAAAGUGAAAUAUUUAUACCUUGGAAGGAAAACAAGUAGAAAGCCAUUGAACUGUUGAGCAAGCCAUAUAGGAAACCUUCAUUGCUUGGUGACAAGAUUUGCUGAACCAUUGAAGGAAGAGAAGCCAAUAUAGUUGCAGCUAAGCUGAUAGACUUGAGGGAUUGUGUUGUGAACAGAUUUUUCCAUUUUAUGAGUAUGGAAGUAGUGCACCAGAAAUUUGCCACGUAAUCCUCGUAUAUUCCCCUCUCAAAUGGAGCAAGACGGGAGAGAACCUGCAUCAUCAGCCAUUUACUUCAUAUUAAUGAGCACGAAAACGAAUGAGACCUAUUGGGUGUAUGCAAUUUACAUCAGAGGAGGAAGCAAAGAGUACAAUCUCUUAGUUCUACCAGAGACAAACAAUUAGUUUUCUCGAGAAAUUAUCAAAUACGUAUUUACCAUUAAGAAGUCGUCCAAAGAAUGCACAUAUGGCCACCAAAAAAUAACAAAUGUCACUAUGACUGCAAUUCCAAGCUUAAUCACAGAAAGUAUAGGGCUCUUCCGUCUUAGGCAUUUACCCAGUAGAUGGCUGAAAAAGGCAGGAGCAAAGUAUGCACUCAUCUGCAACAUCGACACAAUGGAAAAAGUGUGACCAGCAUGUUAUAAACGGGAACAGAACAGAAAUGAGGUACAUACAUAAACAAAGGGGUAUAUCAAGCACCACAUAAGAUUAACAAUAUUGUAUGUAUAGAACAUUUUACAUAAAUGCAACGAUGUGAAAUAUGUAUGGCCAUAAACACUACACUACAGUCUCAACAAAUUAGACAUUUUGACAUAACGGUAGUAACUACUCAUAUUUUCCAGGGAACUAAAACCAUCUAGUUUUUCAGUCUAUGAGAUUGAUAAAAGCCAUUACGUGUCAGAUCAUCUACAAGUAUACCAACUUUCUACAAGGGAAACAUAAGAAUACAGAAAUGAAAUCCCAAAGUCACCUGUUUAUGGCUGAGGGCUAGACUGAACAAGACACAAGUGAGAACCUCGCUCUCACAUAGUACCGCAGCAAUAGCACCAACUGUAAGUCCCAAGCUGAUACAAUUGUACUAUAACAAAUAAAAAUUCUAAUGAGAAUCAUCUUACAACCAUAGAAAAAGGAUACAUAAUCACAACACCAAUAGAGGUAACGGUCAAUACAAACCUGAAAAUGACCGUGAUCAAUGAGGAUCAAGCAAGGGUUUAAGAGAAUCAUAGCAAUAUGCCAAGCCACUUCACUCUUACCACCCCUAGUUCGAUUCCUAUGGUACACCAACACGAAAAACAGAGCAGCUGGGAAAAAUAUGAAAGCAUCAGACGAUAAAACUGUCCAUCUCAUCAACAAUUUUCUGCAUAACAAAACUCGAAUUAGUAAACCCUAAUUACACAACAAGCAACCAAUUGAAGAAUCAGAUCAUUUACCCAAGAUAAGAUUCGUGACCACGAGAGCUUAGAAGAGCAACAGAUUCAGGAUUGAAGAAUCGGAGGAAGAUUCCAUGGAUGUAACUUUGAUAAGCAGUUAAAGGAGGAUAAUCUAAUCCCCAGUAAGUGAGAUCGUUGUAAGUGCCAUUUCUAUACCAAUCGAUAACUGGAAGAUUUGUGGUUAUCUCCAUCCAAUGUCUCUGAGCUUCGAAAUCGCCGAAUUUAGGAGGAAUUCCGGCGCCGGAGUAUGGAUACAUUGUUACAGCAGAUCGGAUCAGUAAUGCGAAGAGGGAGAUGCAGAGAAAUGAAGUUGUGGUUCCUUUAUGUGUUAGCCACCACCAAGUAUCAAUCGAAGAUCCGGUUUGUGGUGAUACCGGAAUGGUGAUGUCAUCUUCGCCGGAAUGUUUCGCCGGCUUCUUCUUCGGCAUCCUUUGUUUUGUUUGUCUUCUCCGUUUAGUUUUUUUCUCACCUAAGCUAAGCUGAUGCAAAAUCGAUUUACGGGGAUCGGUCUCAGUUUGGGUUUAGGAAAUAUUAAUAAAAGGCCCUUGUAUUUUUAUGUUUCUAUAAAUUUAUCCUUGAAAAAUACAAAAACACCAUUCGACUCACUUUUUAUUUUAUGUUAACAACUUGGCUAAAGACACAUCACUAACACCAUUCGACUCACUAAAACUAUGAAAUAUAACUUUCACAUUAUAGGUUAUAGACUCGUUUUGAAUAUUUUUAAAAAGACUAUAUGAAUAUUUUUAAAAAGACUAUAAUACAAUAUAUAUUAAAUUUUUGAGAUGAAAAUAGUAAAGAUGGUUGGUUUGAGAUGAAAAUAAUAAGGAUGGUUGCUAUGAGAAAAUGUUAUUCUUCAAAGGGAAAUAUUUUUUCUUAAAACAGGGAUUAGCGAUUCGCAUCCUCUUCUGUCUUUCUUAGUACGUUUGUGUUAUAGCUUCAUUUCGAAUGACUGGAUUGUCCGAAUUACUCAUGUGUAUAGGGAAGCUAAUCGUCUCGCAGAUGAAUUAGCGAAUCAUGCUUUUUUGUUACUUUUGGGGUUUCAUAGUAUUCUUCUUAGGCUUGAUUUUGCUACUUCGAUUAUUUUUGAGGAUGAUAGUGUUGUUACGCGCCCACGGAAUAUUCGUGUGUAAUUUUUUUUUUUUAUUUUUUUUUAAUAAUAUGGGAGACUAAUCUCCCUCAUUCUACCAAAAAAUUAAGGGAAAUAUUUUUUCUUAAAUUUGUUGAUAUGAUAAUUAUGGUCUACAUAAUAUCGUGUUUUAAAUCAAUAUAUAAUAAAUGUUGGUUAAAACAAGAGCAAUAACAUAAUUUUGGUGAAAUUUCUUGGGAAGGUAAGAGGAAAACUUCCUUGAUAGCAUGGAAGUAUGUAAAUUAGGAAAUUUCAACAAAGCCUUACUUGUGAAACAAUUCGGCCGGAUCGUACAUUUAUCGAAGCUAGUUACUUCCUUGUAAAAAGUUUUUUAUGUAGUGAUGGUGGUUGUAGACCUUUGUAUACUUGGAAUAGUGUUCUCUAUUGAUGAGAUCUCUUGAAAAGUGGCAUAAUAAGCAAUAUUGGACAAAUCUACUAGGGUUUGGCUUGAUAAAUGGCUUAUGGAUGAACAACCAAGGAGACCCACUAAGAAAUAAAUUUUAUUUAUUAUUAAACUUAAGGUUGCUAAUUUGUUGAAUGAGAGAGGUGUUAAUUUCUCCCAAAUGAUGUUAAUCAAGUCUUAUUGAUUUAUCUUAAUUCAAACAAGAAAGAUUUUUCGUUUUGGCGAUUCAAUAAAACUGGAGCUGAAAUCAAAAUUCUUUCUAGGGAUAUAAAGAGUUUGUUGGAUUCAUCUCUUGAAAAAUUCUUUAAAAGCAAAUCAGGGAACUAGACGAAGAUUUUAGCGGAAGUAGCUCAAAAAGCAAAAGCAUCCAUGAAAAUUGCUAUGGUAGAUGAAUCACGAAAAGCUGAAAAAGCUCUGAUCGCUAGUAAAUAGUAAUAAUAGAUUGAGUCUAGUUGAUCAGAAGAAACUUGCACAAGUUAUCAAGGUGGUGGUCGAAAUGGAGGAUGAACUCGAGGAGAAGGUUCAAAAAGUCGAGAAGAUAAACAGAAAGGUAGAUGAGAAGAUGAAGAAGAAGGCAAAGAAGAGACAUUUUUCGUUUUUGGUUUGUUGAAUGUUGAUUCGUCUUCAGCUAUCAUAUCAUGUCGGUGUUAGACUUAAAAUAAGUGUUUACCAAUAACUUAUACAAGAGAGGUUCUACACCGUUUACCAAGAGAAUCAAAGAAUGCAAAGUUUGUAACUUUUGUUUGUGGUUUAAAAGAACACCACAAUCAUUGUUGAAUGCAUAACAUAUUUCAACCAGAUAAGGAGUUAAAGAACUUUUAUAUGGAUCUAAUACUUAACCACUAAUACUAAAAAUUGAUCUUGAAGCAACAUAGGAGAUUUGAGUAGUUAGAACAUAUCUAGCAAAUUCUGAUCUAUUGUGAAAAGAAUAACUAGAGACGGAUGACUUAAUUUCUAUAUAGCAUUUGGAGGGUCAUAAUGACUUGUUUUUAUUUACGUGUUUUACGUUAUUUUGUUUUUGUCAAAAGGCUUUCAUAAAUUAGUAAUACUCUAUAAAUAAAUAAACACAAUAAAAUACUCUUUCUUAUCGAUUUAGGUAUGGCCAAUGUAAAAAACUAAAAAUUAACAAAAUUUUGAAACUUCUAUACAUUUUUAUGGUUCUAGUAAUAUUAUAAAUUUAUACAUAUAUAGCUAAGAUAAUAUUCUAAAUAUGACUAUAAUAUUGUUUGUAAUUUGAAUUAUUGUUAGCGUUAUUCUCUAAUGUUACUUAUUAUUCAAAAACUCUUCGGUGUUUUCGAUUUGUAUCCAAAUUUUAUGAUAAAUUCUAAACACGAUAAUUAAUUUACAAAAAUAAAGUACUUAUUUGAGUACCCUUAAAUUUAUGUUUACUUGACUUCCCAGUUCCCAGCCAGUAUAAAUCUUUUUCUUAUAUUUAAAUUAAUUAAUUAACUUUGGAUAUAGAAUUGAAUUAUUAGGAAAAUAUAUACAUAUCAAUCAAAAAUAUAAUAUUUAUAAGCUUAAUACAAACAUAGAAAUAUCUAUAUCUAUAUAUAUCUAGCUUAAUUAAUUGGAUAGUAAAAGCUUAUCUUUGCAUUUUUAUUAUUUUAAUUAAUUACUUGUAUAUAUAUAUUAUUUUAAAUACUUAUUAGCAUAUUGACAUUUAAGAUACAAGGUUUAAAUUUCUUUUGUUAUUUUGAACAGAAGUUUUGUUAAUCAGUAAAAUAAAAUUAUUGUAAAUAAAAGAAAAGAUUUUGUGCAAAACAAACUCCAAAGUCGUUUAUUUUUGUAACUUUAUCUUUCACGUUUAAAAAUACAAAACAAAAUUAUGAAGUAAAAAUAAUACGUAAUGUAGUCGAUUUUACAACUUUACAUCUAUUGUAAACGUUUUCACGAUCACAUAUAUUUGUUUUUAAAAGUUUUAAAGAUAUAGUUGAACUCCUCAUCUCAAGGGCUUUGAUUUGAUAAAUUAUCUAUCUAAAUUUUAAAAUUAUUUAUCAAAAUUUUAAAAUUUGACAAUAGCAAAAAAUUUGACAUAUGUAUAAUUUUUGAUUUAGUAUUAUUAUUCUGCAUUGUUAAGAUGUAAAAUGUAAAGUUGUAAAAAGUAAAUGAUUCCGAGGAUUUUGUGUAAAAAACCUUAAAAUGUUUUAGAGUUUCUUGCACUAAAAGGAUAACUUUUACUUUUUUUCCAAACCCCAAAGUCUGAUUUACCUGUGAGUUAACAACAAUUACUACUCUCUUUGAGUAAAAAUCGCAUGCCAAAAAGAUUAUAGAAAAUAUAAUACCGAAGAAAAUUCCAAAUAUACAAGCAGUAAAUUAAGUUGAUUUUGGGAAUAGUCUACAAUCCCAUGUACACAUCUCCACUACAUUCCAUACACCUUUUUUAAUCUAACGGCUCACAAACAAUAAAACUCUCCGAAUAAGUAAUCACCACGUGAUUUAUCUUGACACACCAAAGUUUGUAUAGACGUGCAUGUAUGUAAUUAAUUAACCUUUUAUGUACUAUGAAUUAACUGUGUUGAUAUAUAAAGGGUGACUCAAUACCCCAAAAGCGGUCUCUCUCUAUACUUUGCUUCUCUCUCUAAACUUCUCUCUUUCUUUUUUUCUCAAAGCUUUUUUCCUUCUCCCUAAACGAUGAAGAUUUUCGUGAAGACUCUCAGUGGUUCGAACUUCGAGAUCGAAGUAAAACCUGCAGAUAAGGUAUAGUGAUUUCUUGAAUUCGAAUCGUCUUCUCUGUUUCUUUAACUGUUUAUUAGGUCUGAUUUGGUUCCGUAAUUCGAUUUUGCCUUGGGGAAAAAUUCCGGUGAAUUAGCGAAUCUCGUAGUAUCUGAUUUAAAAUUCUAGGUUUCGUUUGCAUCGUACUCUUGUUUCGGGUUGGGAAUUGUUUGUGACGAUGCGUGUUUCUGUUUCUGUGAUUGGAUUCGAAUUCGAAUUAGGGUUUUUCGUGAGUAUGUAAGUAUAGUGAUUGUAUGUGUUGGGAAUUUAAUUAUAUACUGUGUAAAUUGUAUAUAGUUAUGGCUUCUUGUUUUCCCAUCAACAUUCGUUGCUUUAGUGAUCAUGCUGGAAUCUGAUUUUGCUUCUUUAAGAUUAUGUUAGAGCUAAUCAUACUUAGAUUCACAAUAUUAGUCAUUAUAUUUGCUAAACCUUGAGGCACCUAUGGAUUAUCAUACGUAAUGAUAUAGUAUUUGUGAAGUUUUCUUUGGUGUGACUUAUUUGUUUCAUUGCUAGUCUUAUAUCUUCUUGAUAGCCUUUAGCUUAAUGAUGUCUGUAUGAUUUGGUAUCUGAGUUUAUUUUUGGCUUUUUCUAGGCUAAGUUAUAUGUGUGAUUGAGAUGCUUAUUAACAUUGUUGUUGAUCGCAGGUUUCUGAUGUUAAAACGGCUAUAGAAACUGUUAAAGGUGCAGAAUACCCUGCUGCUAAGCAGAUGCUGAUCCACCAAGGAAAGGUUCUAAAGGAUGAGACCACAUUGGAAGAGAACAAUGUUGUUGAGAACAGUUUCAUUGUUAUCAUGUUGUCCAAGGUGAUGUACUAGGUCCACAGUUUCGCAUUAGUAUUAGUAACAGGAUUUUAGUAGUUAGUGGAUGCUAACAAGUUUUAACGUUUGUAUAUAGACCAAGGCUUCUCCAAGUGGGGCAUCAACCGCAUCUGCACCAGCACCUAGUGCUACACAGGUGAAUAAAAGUUCUUAUGUAAUAUGGUUAUGGUUUCUAUUUGUAAGUGACAACAAAAUAGUAUAUCUAGAUAACAGUUUUGUCUAAUAGAAUUGCUUGGAUUUUCUGUAACAGCCACAGACAGUAGCUACACCUCAGGUUUCUGCUCCUACUGCCUCAGUGUAAGUUGCCUUCCUCUGGCAUUGAUUUACCUCCUUUUGAAAGAGAAAUUGUCAGCUUCUUAUGUAGUUGCCGGUUUGCUGAUUCUCUGUUCUUUUUACUUGCGUUCUCAGUCCAGUUCCUACAAGUGGAACUGCAACCGCUGCAGCUCCAGCUACUGCUGCUUCGUAAGAACUUUUCAGAAGUAUACUAUAUUCAUUUUCGAAUAUCUGUUCAUUGAUUGUGUAAAUGUUGCCCACUUUCUUGGUUGAAACAGGGUUCAGACAGAUGUGUAUGGUCAAGCAGCAUCAAACCUUGUUGCUGGAACUACUUUAGAGUCCACUGUUCAGCAAAUUCUUGAUAUGGGUGGAGGUAGUUGGGACCGUGACACUGUUGUUCGUGCUCUGAGAGCUGCGUUCAACAAUCCUGAAAGAGCUGUUGAAUACCUGUACUCGGUAUGAUUCAUUCCACUUCUUGAUUUUACGUUUUUCUUUGAUAUAUUGUAUCUACCUUUGAUUUGCGGUUUGCCAGAAUUUAAGCAACAUUUGCUCUUGAACUUUUGGUUGAUACAUUUCAGGGUAUCCCUGCUCAAGCUGAAAUCCCACCAGUUGCUCAAGCCCCAGCUACUGGGGAACAGGCAGCCAAUCCUCUAGCACAGCCCCAACAAGCAGCAGCUCCAGCAGCUGCAACUGGUGGUCCAAACGCAAAUCCAUUAAACCUGUUCCCCCAGGUAGGGUUUUUAAACUGGUGAACCGAUUUCAUUUGCUCGUUUUCCCUUGUGAAUUUGUUUUAUUGACAUCCACUCUUAUCUGUCUCUAUCCAGGGCAUGCCCGCUGCAGAUGCUGGUGCUGGAGCUGGUAAUCUUGAUUUCCUGCGUAACAGUCAACAGGUAUUUUCAAUUUCUUUUCCAUUCGAGAACGGAAAUCUUCAUUUCUCUCCUCUUAUGUCAUUUGCAAUUCUUUUGCCUUUUCAUAGUUCCAAGCCUUGCGAGCUAUGGUACAAGCAAACCCACAAAUUCUACAGGUAAAAUUUUUAACCUCUUAUUCUUUAUUUGGUAGGUUAUAUGAUAUUGAUUUCCCACUUAUACUGUUUCGUUUUGCAGCCUAUGCUUCAGGAGCUCGGUAAACAAAACCCCCAGCUUGUGCGACUAAUUCAAGAGCACCAGGCUGACUUCCUACGCUUGAUAAACGAACCUGUCGAGGGAGAAGAGUGGGUUUAAUAUCAUGAUUCUCCUUUACGUUUUCAUUUUAUUCUUUUUUCUCAAUAAAGCAUGUAAUCUGACAUUUCAUUCGAUGCCACCAGGAAUGUUAUGGAACAGUUGGAAGCAGCAAUGCCACAAGCUGUUACCGUUACACCUGAAGAGCGUGAAGCCAUUGAACGGGUUUGUUCCUAUGAUCUUUACAUUUGUACCUUUACUAGAUGCUCUGGUUCCUCAAAAUAUAUGGCUUGUAUUGAAAUUUGAUUUUGCUGUUGUUUGUUUUGGUUUAGCUUGAAGGGAUGGGGUUUGAUCGUGCGAUGGUCUUGGAAGUGUUCUUUGCGUGUAACAAGAAUGAAGAACUUGCAGCUAAUUACCUUCUAGAUCACAUGCAUGAGUUUGAAGAUCAAUAAACAGAGCAAAUCCAUUCCUCCCUCUAAACUCAGACCAUCUUUCUGUUUCUUUUUCUUCUUCUUUUUAAUAUGAUAAUCUCUUCUCCAAUGCCAUUUGACAGUUUCAUGUUUAUGUUCAUGGGAGUUGAUGUGUUUAUGUUACUAUUAAAACUAUCAUAGUUUAUCUGGUUUGAAGAUGCUCCUCUUUUAUCAUAUUAUUAGCCUUUGAAUCCUUCCUCUCUUUAGGUCUCAGAUGCACCAAUAUUAGCUAAGAUUAAAAGUGGAUAUUUUGGUUCUAUAUGACUCAUCUCGAGUUAGGAAUGGUAUGUCGAAUCUGGUUUAACAGAUCUGGCCUAAAACGAAACCGCUAUUCAGAUCCAAUUAUUGGCGCUUACAUUGUUUUCUCAUAGCCUCAAGCUAUGCAAUAUCAAUUAUUGCACAUUUGAAUUAACACAAACCCAUCAAUUAAUAUAUCAACAAAAACCCAUCAUCAAUUAACACAUCAACACAAACAUAAAGACAUAUAAGUUGCUCAUGAAGAACUUAUAAUGGUGGAACCAGUGAGCCUUUGAGAUCUGUCAUAAUCGUCUCUGAAAUUGUCUCAAAUCGAGAGAGAAAUGAGAAAUCUUAAAAUUUUACCCUAAAUAAUUAAACCCUAGCUUUUAAUUAUUACUGCACAAAUUAUGUCUAAAUAAUUUUGCCCAUUUACUAGCGAGCUUAUAUGGUUUGUAAUCCAUUUUAAACACUUUAAUUUUGGGCUUCACCAAAACCCAACCAUUAUUAUUUGGACGUGGACAUCCCAUGGUCAGAAAACUCAUUCGAUAACCCUACAUUUGAUGAUCAAAGUGGCACGGAAGCUCGUUCGAUCUACAAGUUUUGUGGUGAGGAGACUUCUCAGUUUUUCUUCUAGUGUGGUUGUACUUCAGGUAAAUUCUUUUCAAUACUUAGUGGAAUUUUUCGCUAACUGUUUUGUGUAAAUAAGGACGAGGCCUCCAUAGCGUUCAGUGCUUUAACAAUGCCGUAUCCACUCUGCUAAUCUUGGAUUUCAAGAGGUAUGACAGUUUGUGUUGUGAUAGGAGCCUUCAUUAAAUUAAAUAAUUUCAACAAUUUAUUUAUUUUUAGAACCAAAAGAUUUUUCAAAAAUUUUGAUUAUCAAAAAAAAAUCCAACAGAUUUUCUGUUAAAAUGAAAAUAUAUAUUAGAUUGUUUUUAAAAAAAAUCAUCUGCCGGAAUUUGAAUCUGGACAUGCUUAUUUUCAAAAAAACAUUUUAGCUAAUGUGCUAGUGCAUAUGUUUUUGCUAAGGUAUGAAUUUAAAUUGGAUAUAUAGAUCAAUUUAUUUAUUUUAAAACCAAAAAAAAUUUAAAAAGAAACUUAGCGGGAUAUAAAAUAAAUAUAUAUUAAAUUUAAAAAAAAAAGAUUUUCCGCUACGGGAAUUUGAACCUGAAAAUGCUGAUUUUUAAAGAAAAUUUAGCUAAUGUGCUACAUGAGAUGUUUUUUUUGCUAAAGUAUGAGUUUAAAUUGGAUAUAUACAUCAUUCAAUUUAUUUUUCUAAUCUAGAAUUUGCUUUCCUAGGACAAAUAUAGGUACUGAAUUAUUAAAGAACAUAUUUUUUGGUAAGAUAUAAGUGAGUUUUUAUAUAAUUUUGAUGAUUUUAGGUAAGUUGAUGUGAUUUACUGUAAAGUCUUUUCAAAUUCUAUCUAAAACUAUGAGAUUUAGAUUUCUGUAUUUUUAACUAAAGAAGUCUUUUCAAAUCCUUUCAAAUCCUUCAAAAUUAAUAAGAAUCAAAUCCACUAACUAUUUUCAGUAACAGUAAAAAGGUUGAUUUUUAAAUUUUUAAUUUAAUAACACUCAAUUUCAUUUAAAAAUUUAAAAUCCAUAAUUAAAUAACAUAAAAUUUAUAAAUUUUACAUAAAUUAUUAGAUUGAAUACACCGCUCUAAAUAUACACAAUGUAAAAAGUCUGUUUAAGAUCAAUUAUAGAUUUAACUUAAAUCUAAAGGCCCAUAAUACCGUCCUGUACAUCAUAUAGUUAUCUCAAGUUGUAAUACUGUAAUACCCGUUGGGCCCAGUGGCCCAUUUAUCAGAUUUCAAAUAACAGAUCUCAACACUAGCAUGGCUACACACGUGUCAGAUUCAAUGCAUCAGUCAUAUCUUCAGCAUCCAACACUUGUCAACCUUCCAUUGGAUCUCUUAACUCUACGCCUCGAAAACAGUUUUUAUUUAUUUAUCAUUCCAUUUCUCAUUGUAUCUUCAUCAGUCUCUUCUUAUUCCAUUUUUUCAAACCACUUGCAAAAUUCGAAUCAGAUCUUCUCUUCAAUCGAAAAAAAAGAAAGGUAAAUCUCUCUCUCUCUAAUCAUCGUUCGUUUCGUAGUUUCUUCUUCUACGUGUAGAUCUGAUCUUUGAUUGUAUGUUUCUGGAGAUCUCGAUCUCAUCGAUUCUCUGUUCUUAUCACUGAUUCAGUGUGUUUGAUAUCUAAAUCCGAUUUGUGUGUAGGAUGUUAAAAUUUAGGUUUCGGUUUUGUUUCUGCUUUUGAACGAUUUUGCUCUAGAUUCGUUAUCCGUGAAGAACAUAGACGAGUAUGUAGAUCUUACUUCGGAUUCGCGUUGAAGAAUUUUCUCUAGAUUCGUCACCUAUGAAGAAGAUUCAUUGUGUUCUUAAUCUAGAUGAUUAGGUUAUUGUUUCGACUCAUUUGUUUAUGCCUAUUUUCUCUAUGUUCUUAAUCGGUGAAGAAAUGUAUCAAUGUGUGUAUGUUUUGGGUUCUGAUUUUGUAGGAUUUGCUCUAGAUUGUUGAAUCGAAGAUGUCGACAAGGGAAGAGAAUGUUUACAUGGCGAAAUUAGCCGAACAAGCUGAACGUUACGAAGAAAUGGUUGAAUUCAUGGAGAAAGUUGCGAAAACUGUUGAUGUUGAGGAACUUUCAGUUGAAGAGAGGAAUCUUCUCUCUGUUGCUUACAAGAACGUGAUUGGAGCGAGAAGAGCUUCGUGGAGAAUCAUUUCUUCGAUUGAGCAGAAAGAAGAGAGCAAAGGGAACGAAGAUCAUGUUGCUAUUAUCAAGGAUUACAGAGGAAAGAUUGAAUCCGAGCUUAGCAAAAUCUGUGAUGGGAUUUUGAAUGUUCUUGAAGCUCAUCUUAUUCCUUCUGCUUCACCAGCUGAAUCUAAAGUGUUUUAUCUUAAGAUGAAGGGUGAUUAUCAUAGGUAUCUUGCUGAGUUUAAGGCUGGUGCUGAAAGGAAAGAAGCUGCUGAAAGCACUUUGGUUGCUUACAAGUCUGCUUCCGUAAGUCAUUCUUUACAACGUUUUUGAAUGUUGUUUUCUUUUGUGGGUAUGAUUGAUUUUGUUGUUGUGAUAAUGCAGGACAUUGCCACUGCUGAGUUAGCUCCUACUCACCCGAUAAGGCUUGGUCUUGCACUCAACUUCUCUGUGUUUUACUAUGAAAUCCUCAACUCGCCUGAUCGUGCUUGCAGCCUCGCAAAGCAGGUUUGUGUAGUACACCUGAUUUUCACUUUUUGCUUCGUGUGUUAUUAUUAUCUCAGUGAAUGAAACAGCUAUUUUGGGUUUGUGCAGGCGUUUGAUGAUGCAAUCGCUGAGUUAGAUACAUUGGGUGAGGAAUCAUACAAGGACAGUACACUGAUUAUGCAGCUUCUUAGAGACAAUCUCACUCUCUGGACUUCAGAUAUGACUGUAAGUAUUAACAACACAAUAUACGUUGAUCACUAAGUUAUGUUGUUGACAUGAUGGUUUCUUUUUUGGUGAAUAGGACGAAGCAGGAGAUGAGAUUAAGGAGGCAUCAAAGCCCGAUGGUGCCGAGUAAACCCGAAGAAGAGGAAGAGUCAUUUUAUAAUGGUAGAAAACUUUCAUGUGAUAAUCUGAGUGAGGGAUAGCUCAGGAUUCUUAUAAGAGACACAGUUUUAUUGUUGUUUGUUUGUUUUGAAACUACUUGCGAUUUAUCAUUCCUCCUUUAGCUUCCUCAAUAUUUCCUAUUCUCCUUUCUAAUGAAAUCAAAACUUGGUUAUUUCUGAUAUGGUAGUUGUCUUUAUUUUCUAUUUUUUUGGUUAUUGAUUUGAUCAACUAAAAAAGUGUGAUAACUUUCUCAAAUUGAUUAAUUAAUGUACGAAAACACUUGCUGCAAAUGGAUCACUUCCAUGACAUUAUACUUUGAUAUAAUAUAUUACAAGAAAUAAAAGGUAACUAAAGUAGAGAAAACAAGAAACCAUAUUUAUAACAAAAUAUUUCAUUUCAAACAAUGGUAAAAGAUCUCAGAUAACAUAGGAGACAGACAAGUUACUACUAAUAAAGGAGAGAACCACACCAAAAUCCUAAUCUUGUUAAUUAACACUUCCAAUAAGUUACUGAAACUCAAAAUCACUGAAUAAGCUAGUGAACAAGUGAAGAGCUACUCUGUGUCAAGUGCAAAGCAGAGGACUCCACGGCACCUGAAAGUCCAAAGGCUGAUCUUGUCGCCGACUUUUAAGCUGCUACUUUUGACGACAUCAUUCCAACCCCAAUUCAAAGUGUAAUUCAAUGUUCCAUGUCCAGAGUCCUUCUCCAUCGCCCAUAUCUUGAAACGCAAACCCCACUUUUGAAAUCUUUGGUUCACAAGAACCGUUCCCACACCAAUAUUCUCGUCGUCUUCUUCAUCAUUGUCUUCGUCUUUCUGCAUAGCUCUACACUCCGCAGGAGUCAGGAAAUCGUUUCUGAUUAGCUUCUGGAAAGGCAUUAAGAGACGACUAAGGUUUGAGUUGACAUCACUCUUAAACAGAGUCCUCUCAAAUAUCAGCCUCGGGGUUUCAGCAUCAGCGUUCAUGUAUCUCAUCACUUGGAAAAUCCACUCAGGCAUCUCUGUACACAACCUUGGCAAAGGAGAAACCUUAACUUUCUUGACUUUACCACUCUUCCUCUGCUCCACGGCACGCCUCUUGCGGUUUGUCUUCCCUGUUAGGCAUGAAGACGGAGACGAAGAUUGGUAAUUAGGGUUUGGUACGUCUUUUGUCUCUGUCGAAGGUUCAAGACAAGGAAGGUUCAGGAGCGAUGAAGAAGAAGUAGAAGCUCCAUUAAGAUUAUCAAAGAGUUUCUUUUCACUCUCGUCAUCAUAAUCUUCAUCGUAGACAAUCUUGGAUUUACCUUUCUUUAAACGUUGUUCUUCAUCACACACCAUAGGUUCAUCAAAACAAGGGUUUUGUAGGUUGUCUGUCUCAAAAUCAGUAGGGAUUAGGUUAAGAUCGGGAAGCGAUGACGAACAAGUAGAAGCCCCAUUAGGGUUUUGUUGUGUGUAUCUUCUCUUCGCCAAAGACGAUUUGAUUUUCCUCGGGAAAAGAUAGAAGAAACUCAUCUUGCACUUGGAUUCUUCUCGUUUCUCUGCAAGAAGACGACUACGUUGUUCUUCUUCCUCCGCAACCAUAACCGUCACAUACGCCAGUAAACUUAAACCCGACGACAUAUUCUUCCCCGAAUCCGUGAGAUGAUUAUCGUGAUACAUAAUACUACUCAUCGUGAUUGAAUCGAAAGACUGGAAAGUUUCUGAGAGCGACGACGUGAGGAACAAGAAACUUGUAUAUAGAGAGACGAGAAACUGAUCGACGAUUAGAAAAGAAGUACCUUCUCUUGCCUUAUAUAUACUUUACAAUAGGGUUUCAGGUUUCUUUGUUUUCCUAUUUCUCCAUUGAGUUUAGUUGUUUAAUUACUGUCAUUAGUAACUAAUUAUAGCCGUUGUGAUCAAGUGUUUCCUUUUUCACAAGUGUGAGAGAUAGUGAAUUUUUAGGAAGUUUCCUUUCCUUUCAAAUUUCAAUAGCUUUGCUUCACUUUUUUGUAUUUGAUGUAUUAUUAUAUUUUUUGGGCACUUGCCGACUUUGAUAUAAAUUAAAUAAAAUGCAGAAAACAGUGGAGUCUCAAAAAAAUUCAGAUCUUUAGAAAAACAAAACCAAUAUUGUUGUCGAUUGAAUCGAAAAUAGUUUCGAGUAUCCAUUUAUCAUCAAAAAAAAAAAAAAAACAAUUCCUUGAAUAAUUUUUAUGUUUUUUGAAUUUUAUUGGAUGUACGUACAUAAUCAUUUCAACAAAAUUGCAUAAAAAUAGUUGAUGCAAAACCAAAUAUGGGGAGAAAAUUCAAAUAGUUUUCUCAAUUUGAGGUAACUACGAAAUUGCCCCACAUCCUUUAGUAAUUACGAAUUGGACCUAAAACUAUAGAUAAUUACGAUUUUUUCCCUCGAAUAAUAACGAAAUUGCCUCAGUUAUUUCGUUAUUUGUUAAUGCACCCCACAUCUCUCGGUAAUUACAAAAUUUCUGCAAAUCUUCCAAAAUGAAAUUUCUGGUAAUUUCUUAUUUGGUAAACUACGAAUGAACAACAAAGAACAAUGAAUUGGUAAAAUACACAUUUUGGAAUACUCAAUCUCUCAUAUUAUUGCUUAUCCACAAUCAAAUCACACAAUUGUAACAAUGAACAACAAAGAACAAUGAAUCAACAAGAACAAAUGAAAUUAGAAUCUUCGCUCACAUCCCUCAGAUUAUAAUCGCACCCUUCACAGUCUCAUAGCGAAUGAAUCAACAUGCCUUGCUCUGUAACCGCUCCUCAUAUUUAUAGAUGCCUCUGAUACUUGCUUAUUUCACAAGCUUCCCUCUGUUUCCUCACGUGCCUUGCACACACACUCUUAUCAUGCAUUCGCAGUCAUUAAACAGUGUCAUAGUUAUUCUUUAUGGUUACAAGUGUGGGGUUGGUGACUGAUGAAGACAACUGAUCUUAUUCAUCUACUUCUUGGAGCUGGAGUUGGAGAAAUUCGAGAAGAAUGAACAAAUUACGACAAGGUACAUUGAGAAAAUCUCCGGUGAAGCAUAAAAGCACAACUUAUACGUAAUAUUUCUAUAUUUGCUUUUGGAGACAGAACAUGUGUCAGUAAUCGUUGGUUUAGACUUCUAGGUCUGGUUUGGGGUUUGGUACAGAUGGUUUUAUGGCUGCAAAUGUCUUAUGUUGUUGAACGCCCACAAGAUGCUCGAUGAAAUGCCGAAGAGAGUGGCUUGUUUGUAAAAUUGCAGUUUUUUGGUGGUAUAUGGAUGAGAAGCAGAUGAUAGUGAGUAGAGUUUUGUUACUUGGGGGUAGAAAAUUCUCUUCGCCAUGAGAUAGACUAUUAGAGUUAAGCGGGUAAAAACCCGGACUCGUUUUGUGAGACAAAAGAACCUGAAAAAGUUCUCACUUUGACUAUUCUUGCUUCUAUCAAGCCAUUGCAAUUGUUCUUGGAAAAGUGAAACACACACUCUCGUUGUCUCAUCUUGCUGUGAAUUAUCAUUCUUAUCUGCUGAGUUCAAGACUGGAUUAAGCAUGAUUCUUGAAGAUAGGAGUGUGACUGAGAUAAUAUGCAUUCACUGGAAACCAUGGUCUACUUUUCAAAGGUAAUGUCUCUGUUCUUUCAAUUUGAGACAGAACAAAAGGAAAGAAGUAGAUAUUAAGUUAAGUGUGGUAGCUUGAGAAAUGGGAACAAAUGGUUAGAUUUGUAGGACUGGAAAUCUUUAUGCUAGAAAGAAAUAGGGGUAGUAUUGGACAUAACUCUCAAAAGGAAAGGAGAAGGGACAUUGUGUUUGAUUCAAAGCUAAGACAAGGCUGCAUUUGUGUCACUCAAAGGAGAAUAGGAAUUACCUCUGACAGAGUUUGAAAGAAAAACUCUACAAGUAUCAGAAUGUUUAAGAUCGUUCCUGGAGUACAUUCAGUCAUUCAGAUGAAAAGACGGAGAAACGGAGCUGUGGCGGGAAUGUAACUAGUAAAGUACUUUCUUGAGGAUUCGGCAGUGCUCAAGAAGUUUAUGCUGCGUUUGGGUUGUGAGAGAAUGAACAAAGAGUCUAUCAUUUUAAUGGAACUAUUGAGGUUAAGGAGAUAUACUAUGCUUAUUGUAUAGUCAUUGUUGAACUUGCUGAGACUGAUAAUGAUACAUAGGUGUUUCUACACUUAAAUGUGCAAUUUCCAUUUAGGAAAGUUUAGUAUUGGGAUUUGAUGUAUAUAUUCUUACCAGAACCAGUUCUCCAACUUAGGAAAUUUAUUUGUAAUAAUCUGAGUGACGCUCAGUAUUCUUCCAAGGACAAUUUGACAACUACUUGCUAUGGAUUCCUCCUUUAGGUUCCUCAAAAGUUCAUGUUCUCCAUGUAAUGAAAUCAAAACUUGCUUUUUCUCUGACAUUUUUGAUUGUUUUGGUUCUAAAUUUGAUCAAACUGACUGCAUCGAGCAUUUCGGAGGAAUAGUACACAAAACAUUAGCAGGAAUAGAUCAUUUCCAUCAUUACAACAGGUUUAGAGGAGAGAUCUGAGACAACACAAAGGUAUAUUGAACAAUGCAGUAAGUAAAGUAGACAAAACAAGAAACCAUAUUUAUGACCAAAUGUGUUCAUUUCAAACAAUGGUAAAGGUCUGAAACAACAGAGGAGACGGACAAGUUAAUACUACUACUACUAAUCCUAACAAUAGAGGAGAGAACCAGUUACUAUACUAAAAAGCCAAAAACCUCAAGAAUCACUUGAAAUUUGUUAAAUGAGACCUCAAGAGACAAAUGAAACAUAUCAGAGAGCUACCUACCAUGUGUCAAGAGCAAAGCAGAGGACUCCACGGCACCUGAAAGUCCAAAGACCGAUAUUGUCGCCGGCUUUUAAGCUGUUACCUUUGACGACAUCAUUCCAGUCCCAAUUCAAAAUGUAAUUCAAGGUUCCAUGUCCAGAGUCCUUCUCCAUCCCCCAUAUCUUGAAACGCAAACCCCACAUUUUAAAUCUUUGGUUCACAAGAAUCGUUCCCGCACCAAUAUCUUCGUCGUCUUUGUCUUCGUCUUCCUGCUUGGCUUGACACACAAGAAUCGUUCCCACACUAAUAUCUUCGUCGUCUUUGUCUUUGUCUUCCUGCAUGGCUCGACACUCCUCUGGCGUCAAGAAGUCGUUUCUGAUUAGCUUCUGGAAUGGGAUUAAGAGACGGCUGAGGUUAGAGUUGACAUCACUCUUGAACAGAGUCCUUUCAAAGAUCAGCUUCGGGGUUUCAGCAUCAGCGUUCAUGUGUCCCAUCGCUUGGAAAACCCACUCAGGCGUCUCUGUAGACAACCUUGGCAAAGGAGAAACCUUUACUUUCUUGACUUUACCACUCUUCCUCUGUUCCACGGCACGCCUCUUGCGACUUGUGUCGUUCUCCGUUAGGCAUGAAGACGGAGAAGAAGAUUGGUAAUUAGGGUUUGGUAGAACUUUCGUCUCUGUCUUCUCUGACUCAACCGUGUUGUAAUCCAAGAAUAACGAAGCCUCAUAACAACGAAG
rnacentral:lncRNA from 1 species